rnacentral:rRNA from 1 species
AUUAUCAACGUAAUUUUUAUGUAGGAGACACAUCCCAUCAGAACUCUGAAGUUAAAUGUGCUUAGACGAGAGUAGUACUAAGAUGAGUGACCCCUCGGGAAGUUCUCGUGUUACACUC